rnacentral:lncRNA from 1 species
AUGAGACCAAAAUCAUGCAGCUGGUGCAAAUGGUUGAAGAGCAGCUUUCAAUUUACUUUGGGUAUGUCGUUUGCAGGUAUUUUCGGGUAAAUUCGCCCGCCUCCUAAGAGGUUUUAAAUAUCAAAGUCUAGUUUUAACGAGACAGUAGAUGGCAGUAUUGCUGCAUCGCAUGGACAUCACUCACUAUUAAACUCAUGAAGAAGAAACCUUCAGCUGUGAUUGGUUGGAAUUAUCCAUCGAGCGCGAGGAAAACUGACGUUGGAACCAGAGCUGCGCUCCUAUUUCAAAGUUUAGUUGACGUUAGUUAAAGUGUUUUAUUCAACAAACUCGAACUUCGAGUUAAGGGUUUAAAGUCUUUUCCCAGACAUAAACCUCCCUCAAGCAGUUAGGCUGCAGGCACAGAGAGACUGAGAGAUCACCUGAAACAAUUUCUUCUCUCCAAUCAUUACUGGCAUGGAUUCUCCUGUAUACUGGCUGAAAGAUGAAUGCUUGCCAGAAAUUACCUUCCUUGAUGAUACAUGUUAUUCAGAUCACAGUAUGAGUGAUAAAGAAAAUGACUCUGAUGUCCACUCUCCUGUAAAACAUAAUGGGACAACAGCUUCAGACUCUGAUGACAAGAUGGUUGACCUUUCUGAGAGUAUGUAUGCUCCCGUUUGCUUUCUGGAUGUCCGAUACUUCCCAGAAAUAACUCUUCUUGAUGUUACGCGUGAUUCCGAGCUAUUACAAUUUGAGGAAUUAUCCUCCAUGGAGGUCAUACAGGAUAUUUCACCAGUGGAUAGUUUGAAAAACAGCAUGCCUCCCUCGGAGUUCAAUAACCAAAUUGUGGCAGAGCCUUGCAGAUCAGACAUGAUUCAAAGAGAAGAAUUGCCAAGUAGUACUCUUACUGGCAAUGUCACCCACACCACAAUCUCUUUUAGUGAACGAUCUGAUAAGAGUGAGGGGGGAGACAUUAGGCAAACCUCCUUGGAAGUAACUCAGGAUAUUUCUACAAGCAGUGUUUUGGAAAACAGCAGGCCUUCAUUGGAGCCCAGUGGACCAAACAUGGUGAAGAUUCAAACAUCAGCUGAGGAUACAUCUGCUAAUGUUACACACAACAAAAACUCCUCAAGUGACAUGGCUGUUCAGUGUGCUGCAUCACAGUUAUCUACAUCUGAUAUGCAGUGCAACACAAGUUUAAAGAAUGUCACCUUUGAGCUUUAUGUUGAACCUGUGGUGAACUCUAAUACUGUGGAAGCCAACAAUGAAGAGCUACUUACCAGCCAUGAUGUAGAGUUGACUAGCAAUGAGCCACAACCAAGGCCAAAAACAUCUGGGUUUGUGAACGGCGCGUUCACCUCCCUCCAGGCCGCGCAGUUGAGUUCCUCCACCGAUUUGAGCACCACUGCUCAAAUACAAUGCCCUCAGAAUAAGACCCUGGAUCUUCCCCAAUUUAAUGUAAACAGUCCCAAUGCGGUUGAGGCUACUUCGGUCUUUAAGAACAUCACCGAAACUUCCCUUGAAAUGAAUCAAAAUUGCUCCGCUGUAAAGACAAGUGGUCCAGGUGAUAUGCAGAACGCCACUUUUGAUAGACAUUCUCUUCAAAAAUCUAGUGUCAAUACUAUUUUAGGGGACGCUGGUGCUACAACCUUUUGCCUCCAAAACAACACUUUCGAUACUAAGCCUCCUCCGAAGCAGAAUGGCACAAUAACUUUGUCAGAAUCAGGCUCAAGUGACGGUAACCAGAACACCUUCGACAAGCCCUCUCCUAAUGCAACAAGUAGCCCUAAAGAAAACAAUUCUGAAGUCCACCAUCCUGAACCGUUUAGACAUAAUGGGACUACAGCUACAGACCCUAAUGCCAAGAUGGUUGACACCCCUGAGAGCACGUUUGAAGCUAAUCCAGCUGUUGCGGUGGCUUCUGGAGCUGGCCGACGUGACACUAAGGAUCAUUCACAAUCAGCUGCUGAAUCCCUUUUGCUUCCUUCGAGUGCUGCAUCCCAGUUGUUGAAACACAAGCCGCCCUCUGCACUUCCAGGGAGGUUUGAGGCGUUGACAUUAGGCCUACCCAUGACGAGACAAAGAACCCUAGCCGAAGCUUUGAGAUAUACUUCUGCUUCUGAUCCUCCCCAGACCACAGGAAUAUCCAGCUCUUACAAGUUACGUGCGACAACAGGAUCCAAGCAACCUCAUUCAGGCUUGCAGAGACCGCAGUUGAGUGGCAUACUGUCAGGCAUCCAGAGAGCUGCAACAGGUCUCAGGCCGCAAUCAGUGAGAAACAACACAUCAGCUUCUUUAAGCUCUAAUAAACUUUGUGGACCUACUACAGCUACUAACCCUAUGACGAAGACUUCACAAGCAAAUAAGCAACGCUUAACCAGAGGGGAAGCUAUGCCAAUAGCAAAGAGAAAGAAAAUUGAUACUCCCUUACCGUAUGGUAGUGGUGAAACCUCACCAUCUUCCUGUGAUGCUGCAAAUGCAUCCAAAAACCUGAAACGGCCCACAACCAGUAAGAGAGCUUUGCCAGCUAAAAACCAAAGGGAUGAUGCUGCAAUGGGAGCCAGUACUGCUGCUGAAAUCUCAACCUCUUGCGAUGCUGUUAGCAGAGCGAAACUGAAACUGCCUGCGAGCAGCCACAAAGCUCUGCUCGCUAAACCCCAAGGCCAUGGUUGCGCCAACUGCGUCAUGCUUGAACAACAACUCAAAAUGCAAUCAGAAGAAAUAAGGAAACUGAAUGAAGAGCUGCUGAAGAAAAGUCCAGUGGCCCCUGGACAUCCAGGACAAGGGCCCAUGAUGAGUGGAGGUCCGACCUUACAGCAGGUCACCAUCGGUGGUGGUUCAAGCCAACAAGCAGGAAAGAUGCUGAGCAGCAUCAAGACAAACCUCAAAUCUGCACCCGGCUCAAUGCAUCCUUACAACCGAUGAGCUCCUUGUUUCUUAAUUCACUAGUUAAGUCAUUAGUCCACUUCUUACUCUGGAAGUUAUGCAGUAAUGUAAAGUAAUGUUUCAUCUGUGAUAUUUUAAUAAAUAUGUGAAGUAUCUGAAGAGUGAAUUGUGCUUUGUAUUUUAUUAUUAUUAUUAUUAUUAUUAUUAUUAUUAUU